CGAGCGCAACCCUCGCCUCUAGUUGCCAGCAUUCGGUUGGGCGACUCUAGAGGGACUGCCGGCGACAAGUCGGAGGAAGGUGGGGAUGACGUCAAAUCAUCAUGCCCCUUAUGACCUGGGCUACACACGUGCUACAAUGGGCGGUACAAAGGGCUGCGAACCCGCGAGGGGGAGCGAAUCCCAAAAAGCCGCUCUCAGUUCGGAUUGCAGGCUGCAACUCGCCUGCAUGAAGCCGGAAUCGCUAGUAAUCGCGGAUCAGCAUGCCGCGGUGAAUACGUUCCCGGGCCUU
rnacentral:rRNA from 1 species